rnacentral:rRNA from 1 species
GAUGAACGCUAGCGGCAGGCUUAAUACAUGCAAGUCGUGGGGCAGCAUGAAUGUAGCAAUACAUUUGAUGGCGACCGGCAAACGGGUGCGGAACACGUACACAACCUUCCUAUAAGUGGGGAAUAGCCCAGAGAAAUUUGGAUUAAUACCCCGUAACAUAAUGAUGUGGCAUCACAUUAUUAUUAUAGCUUCGGCGCUUAUUGAUGGGUGUGCGGCUGAUUAGAUAGUUGGCGGGGUAACGGCCCACCAAGUCUACGAUCAGUAGCUGAUGUGAGAGCAUGAUCAGCCACACGGGCACUGAGACACGGGCCCGACUCCUACGGGAGGCAGCAGUAAGGAAUAUUGGUCAAUGGACGCAAGUCUGAACCAGCCAUGCCGCGUGAAGGAUUAAGGUCCUCUGGAUUGUAAACUUCUUUUAUCUGGGACGAAAAAAGGCGAUUCUUCGUCACUUGACGGUACCAGAUGAAUAAGCACCGGCUAACUCCGUGCCAGCCGCCGCCGUAACAC